GACGAACGCUGGCGGCGUGCUUAACACAUGCAAGUCGAACGGAAGGGCCCUGCUUUUGUGGGGUGCUCGAGUGGCGAACGGGUGAGUAACACGUGAGUAACCUGCCCUUGACUUUGGGAUAACUUCAGGAAACUGGGGCUAAUACCGGAUAGGAGCUCCUGCUGCAUGGGGGGGGUUGGAAAGUUUCGGCGGUUGGGGAUGGACUCGCGGCUUAUCAGCUUGUUGGUGGGGUAGUGGCUUACCAAGGCUUUGACGGGUAGCCGGCCUGAGAGGGUGACCGGCCACAUUGGGACUGAGAUACGGCCCAGACUCCUACGGGAGGCAGCAGUGGGGAAUAUUGCACAAUGGGCGGAAGCCUGAUGCAGCAACGCCGCGUGCGGGAUGACGGCCUUCGGGUUGUAAACCGCUUUCGCCUGUGACGAAGCGUGAGUGACGGUAAUGGGUAAAGAAGCACCGGCUAACUACGUG
rnacentral:rRNA from 1 species